GAUGAACGCUGGCGGCGUGCCUAAUACAUGCAAGUCGAGCGAACGGACGAGAAGCUUGCUUCUCUGAUGUUAGCGGCGGACGGGUGAGUAACACGUGGAUAACCUACCUAUAAGACUGGGAUAACUUCGGGAAACCGUAGCUAAUACCGGAUAAUAUUUUGAACCGCAUGGUUCAAAAGUGAAAGACGGUCUUGCUGUCACUUAUAGAUGGAUCCGCGCUGCAUUAGCUAGUUGGUAAGGUAACGGCUUACCAAGGCAACGAUGCAUAGCCGACCUGAGAGGGGGAGCGGCCAAACUGGAAAUGAGACACGGUACAGAAUACUAAGGGAGGGAGCAGGAGGGAAACUUCCGGAAUGGGCGAAAAGCUGACGGAGGAAAGGCGGGGGAGGGAUGAAGGGCUUCGGAUCGUAAAACUCUGUUAUUAGGGAAGAAAAAAAGGGGAAGUAACUGUGCACAUCUUGACGGUACCUAAUCAGAAAGCCACGGCUAACUACGUG
rnacentral:rRNA from 1 species